AAUAUGUUUUGCUGCUAUUAUCCAGCAUUAAACUUUGAUUUUGAGGAGUGACUUUAAAGUUUGGCAGAAAAGAAGCAGAGUUAAGGACCAGGAAUUGCUUCAGUAAAGUUGCAAGAUACCAAAUCAACAUACAAAAAUGAGUAGCAUUUCUAUAUCGUAGAAAUGAAACAGCUGAAAAAAGAGAGCAAUCCCAUUUACAAUAGCUAAAAAAAAGGGAUCAAUUUCACCAAGGAGAUAAAAAAUCUCUAUAAAGUAAAAACCAUAAAACACUGAUGAAAGAAGUUGAAAAGGACACAAAUGGAAUGUCAUCCCAUGCUCAUGAAGUGGAAGAAUCAAUAUGAUUAAAAUGAACAUACUUCCCAAAGCAA
rnacentral:lncRNA from 1 species